CUCAUGGUAUGGAGACAGAGCAGUUGGACCAGGACCAGCAAGCCCCAGCAAUUAACAGUCCCCAGGCCAGGGCAGAGAAUCUGUUUUACAAGAUGGCUAAUACCGGAGACUAAGACUUUGCAGGUGGAAGGACUCUAAUACCUCCUGAGUCUGGGUGAAAGGCCUCCAGACUCCUUAGGACAAGGACCACAGCCCUACUGGCAGGGUGCUGGUGCUGCACAGUGACCUUUGAGGGGAGGAAGUGGCCUUCCCUGCUGAGGGUGGCCUGGUCCUCCACAGGUGGCCCAGGCCGGGCCCCCCUCCCACCAGCAGCAGGCAGCGUGCACACUUACAUCAGUCAUGGCUUUCUUGGCCCUCUCGUCGGCAGAGCGGAACUCACUGAUGAGCUCCUCGUGCUCGUUGGAGAUGCGCUGGACAUCCGACUCCAGCUUGCGCUUGACCACGAGGAGGCUUUGGUUCUGGAAGAGAAAAUAAAGACAUUGCCAUGAGGCAGAAGUCUGCACAGCCCUUCCUGUGUCCAGGAAAGAGAAACAACUCUCUCACAGACAUACUUGCCAAACCCCCCAACAGGAAAUGGCCCUGGACCCCCUGCUUGAGAGGAGCCUGUGAACUGCUUUCUCCUGGACGUGACCCUGGCCUCAGCAAGUGUCUGAUGUGGUCAGACCACCAGCACCACCCACACCCCAGCCUUCCCAGCUCUCUGGCACAGGGUCACACUCACUUGGUCUCCUCCAGCUCCUCGGUCCUCUGGAUGGCAUCCGUCUCAUACUUGGUCCUCCAGGUGGUCACCUCGGUGUUGAGCUUGGACACGAGGCGCUGCAGCUCUGACUUGCCUCCCUGCUCCUCCUCCAGCUGCUCCUUCACCAGGUCCAGGUCAUGCUUUGUGUUGGCAAGACUCACCAUGGCCGUGCUGCGAGACUGUGGGGACCAGCGGAGGCCGUCAGAGGCCCCGCUGGUCUCUGUGGACCCCAGGGCCAUUGCUUAGACAUCCGCAGCAUUGGAUUGACAGUGCAGCAAGUGAAGGGGGAAAAGGGCACCGA